AAACCAGCACCUCAAGUGGUCAGGAUGAUUAUUGGGCCUAAAGCAUCCGUAGCCGGCUCUGUAAGUUUUCGGUUAAAUCUGUACGCUUAACGUACAGGCUGCCGGGAAUACUGCAGAGCUUGGGAGUGGGAGAGGUAGACGGUACUCGGGAGGAAGUGGUAAAAUGCUUUGAUCUCUCGAUGACCACCUGUGGCGAAGGCGGUCUACCAGAACACGUCCGACGGUGAGGGAUGAAAGCUGGGGGAGCAAACCGGAUUAGAAACCCCAGUAGUCC
rnacentral:rRNA from 1 species